GGACUACAGGGGUAUCUAAUCCUGUUCGCUCCCCACGCUUUCGCUCCUCAGCGUCAGUAUCGGCCCAGAGACCCGCCUUCGCCACCGGUGUUCCUCCUGAUAUCUGCGCAUUUCACCGCUACACCAGGAAUUCCAGUCUCCCCUACCGAACUCAAGUCUGCCCGUAUCGACCGCAAGCUCGGAGUUAAGCCCCAAGUUUUCACGGCCGACGCAACAAACCGCCUACGAGCUCUUUACGCCCAAUAAUUCCGGACAACGCUCGCACCCUACGUAUUACCGCGGCUGCUGGCAC
rnacentral:rRNA from 1 species